GAAAUAAUAAAUAAUUAAAUAAAUCAUUAAAGGGUAUUUUGGAUCUCUUGUACUUUUAUUUAAGGAAAUUAUUUAAUUGAAAGCAUUCAAUUAAGGAAAUAAACUAGUCAUUCAAUUAAGGAAAUAAACUAGUCAUUCAAUUAAGGAAUUAAACUAAAUAUAUUUGACCUAGAUAUGUUUGCGGCCGAACACUUCAUCAUCGACAUCAACACCAUCACCAUCACCGAUUUUACUUCUUCUUCUACAAUCGACGGAUCCAAAAGGGAGCACAUACUCUCGUCUCGCAAUCGAUGAUGGAUUCUGGGGUCGAUGAGGCUGAAGAAGGGGAUGCGGAGGAGCGGUGGCGCUGUUGUGGGGUCUAUGAACACGAAUGAGAAGCGAGGAGCAAACGGUCAGGAAAUCCCGACGAUUGCAGGUACUUGGAUGGAGGUAUCCUUCGGCAUCCUCCUGUUCUUCUUUCUUUGGUCCGGUAAUCCAACAACUAGGGGAUAUAACUGGAAAUUAUUUACCUCAAUCGAGAUUGAUUUUAUCUCGAUUUUUUUUCAAGAUCGAGAUUGUGUUCAUCAUCUUAUUAAAUUCGAUUUCUUCAAUGGUUUAUUUCUGUUCGAUUGAAGAAAUAUUCUGAUACAACUUGCACUUCACAGUCAUAAGUUGGAUUUUGUUUCGAAAAACUCAAAAUUGGUGUUCAUAUUUCUAAAU
rnacentral:lncRNA from 1 species